CCGCCCCCCCCCCCCCCCCCCCCCCCCCCCCGGACGACGGCUGGGCGGAGGAAGAAAGGGUCGAGAUCUGGACGCAGAUCUGGAAAUCCACCGUGUUGAGUCACCCUGAGCCAAGCCGCUGCCGUCGCUGUGACCGAGUACCAGCCGCGAACCACGAGAUCCCAACGUCGGUUGCUGCUGUCUUCUCCCCCACGAGCCACUCCUGCUCCGAAGCUCGAAGAACCAGCGCGAAAUCGAAGCCGUCGUAACGGAGUUUCCCCGGUCGUGUUGGUCUAUGGUCGUUGCCACCGUAUAAACGCCGUGGACAGGUAACGAUGGGCCUCGCUCGCGCCGUCAACAUCGUUCCACCCCCUCGAAACCCUAGCCACCGUUCGUCCGUGUCGCCGCCUCCGAGUCACCGCCAGGUGACGUCACUAACCCCCCUUCUCGGCGCCGCACAUUGUCGAGCCCUAGGGUUCCCAAGAACCGGGUCGGUCGGGUCGGGGGCGCGACCCCUUCACCCUAGGGUUUUCUCGCGCGGGUCGGGCUUGGUUUUGCUCUUCGGGCUGGGUUUAUGCAAUAUCGGAUCAAUUGGGCCGGUCUCAAGCGGGCUGGUCUCUCGUGGGCCCAGAAGCAAGUGACCCUUUUGUCUUUUCGUGCGGGCUUUAAUUGAAAAAUUCUGGGCCGAGCCCAUGUUCAGGCCCAUCCGGGCCAUAUGUUGGCCAUUCGGGCCAAGGGCCAGCGAACCGGGUCGGUCCCAACCCGGGAAUCUGAC
rnacentral:lncRNA from 1 species